rnacentral:sRNA from 1 species
AUUUGCUUAAUGCUCUAACCGUGGCAAGCUUGGCUGGAAGGCAGGCUACACAUAGCAGGGAAGAGGGUAGACUCCAUGAGGAGAUGGGGCAGGAUCCAGGGUGUGGUAGCCGACUUAGAGCACACUUCCCUUGAAAAUAUGGGACAAAUAUUUAAUAACGAACAUUGGUCGGAGCCACAAGUGAGUAAAGAGCUAGAUGUUUCCAGGCGGUCGCGGGUCUCAGCGUUUGGGUAAUGGCAGCCCUCUGCUUCCAGAGCGUCUGUCCAAUUCGCAGCACAACUUCACAGGGCAGAGGGAUCAAAGUCCGAGAGUUGACAAGCCAGUAAAACUUAAGAAAGGCACCCGCGUCUCAGCCAACUGGGCUGGGAUCCACCACUAGGAUUUAGUUCUUGCAAGAGAGUCAGACUCCAACUCCGGGACAGAAGCAGAGAUGCUCUCUAUAAAGCCGUGGAGGGGAAAAACAGGCUCAGCCCUUGGAAACAUGAGCCUGGCUUCAACUCGACUCUUGGUCGCCGCCGUAUACCUGACUUGGUGAAGAAGAAAGGAAAGCAAACAUCUCCCAGCAGAAUGAUCGAGCGCAAAGCGUUCAAAACUUGCAAUUCUGACAGACAGUCCUCGAGGGAAGGUGGGGUUCAUGGUUUUUGAGGGGUUUUUGCCCAUCGUGAUAUGGGAAGGACAGAAGAGAAGUUCAGGUCAGGGUGGUCAAAGCUGCUGAUACUGCCACAGACCAGUGUGCAGAGUGGUCAGGACCCUGAGCUGGGGGAAUGGUCAAAGGCACACUCCUAGAGACCAACUUGUGCUCGCUGAUCCCUGCCUCUUGAAAGUUCCACAGCCUCUCAGAAUAGUGCCCCCUGCUGGGAAGGAAGAAUUCAAGACGUGAACCUGGCGGGUGGGGCUUGGGGGGUGGAUUUCAGAUUGAAACUAGAACAGAAGGCCCAGAAAAGGGAGGUCGGUGAGAGUCUGUAUUCUUAAUUCAGGACGGCUUACAAAUAUGACUAGUUAAUUUAUAAGAUGUAAACUAAUACUUAAAAAAAAAAGAAUUUAGCAAACCAGACAGGGAAUUUCAGGACGGCAGUGACCUUUGUGCUUGCUGAGGCAUCGUAGGCGACAGUCUGCUGGAGUCCGGGAAGCCAUCUGCAGCUAGAGGGACCCUGCAGCUAGGGGGACAAUGAGCUGUCUGUCUCCUCCUCUACCUCCAGCUCUCCCUUGAGGGUUUGCGUUGGCAGAAUCUAAGCAGGAAUUUCUGGGAAAUUUAGUUUCCAGAUGUUACAGCCCCUGUGAGUCAGGACACAGAAGGGGAAAGAGCUACCAUGGCCACGGGGCCCAAGUGAAAGACAUCAAUUAUUUUAGGGUGAUGUCAGAGAAAGUGGGUCGCAGUGGAAAUGGAGCUCGGCGAGGCCGAGUCUGGGUGGAAGGACUGUGGGGAAGCAACACCCCUGCAGACAGGAACUGUGAGACACGCUAGGCAGAGUGACAAGGAGGUUGAAAUGCCACAACCUUCGAGAGUGACAGAUGCUCUUUGUUUUAAAGAGCUCAGUAGCGUGUAUAUAGAAAAUAAAGGCACCGUGGAUGGGACAAGGGGACUGUAAGAACCUGUCCCCCACUCUUGCUGAUAGUUUGAAAGCAUUCUGUGAAAUAAAUAUUCUUCUUCCAGACUAGGCAAAAAUGAAAACGGUUAGCAUUUGGACCUCGGUGUUGGAACUGGAGGUUAGAAGGUAGAAAUGUGGGAGGGAGUUAGACCAGAAGUUGACGGAACUUGGCAAGGUGAGUAGCAGGAGGAAGGCAGGAGCAACCAGGACUCCACAGUCUGUGGGGUGCGUAGCAUUGUGAACGGGCACCAUGAAUUGAGACAUGGCCAUAAAAAAAGUCGGAGCAGUUCCCUUUGGGAUGUGUUCUGUGUUAGGAUGUGAAACUACAGACAUCAAUAAUCAAGACAGAGGUGGUGGUGUGUCGUGUCCCCCCCACCCGCUUCCUGCUGAACAUACAUGACACCUUUGCAUACAAAGGGAAGUAUAACUCUCUACGUGUGAGUUUGGCCACAGUCACAGAAAAGAACUGAUUGAUAUCUAUCAAAGAUAUUUCCCCAUCUUAUUCCCCGAUGGAGCUUGAUGCUUGAAAUCCAACACGUGGUACUUCAAACUCCUGGCUUUAAGUUAAGGCACCUUAAAGGUUUGUGCUGCCCAUCUACCUGUGGUGUGGCGUGCUGAGACUUGCUUUGUCACACGUACCCUGAAAACAAUCAGUGCAUAUACACACACUAGUGCUGCUAUAUGGCCAGAGCUCGCAGCAUGGCCUAUUACAUGAUUUUUCCAGAAAGAUGAUAACAGGCAUCACACCAGACAGGGCAUCAGUGUCAGGUCACAGAAAUUACUCUACUAAAUUCCAGCUUGAGGAACCAAGGAAUCUUUUGGGGUUAUAUACAGCAACGUAGCAAGGGGCUCCUUGAAAGAACCUGAGUGGCUUAAAAGCAGCUGUACCCCCCAAAAUGACCCACCAGAGCUUCGUCCCCGGGACUCCCCACCUAUCUCAAAGGUAACCCCUUAGAGAGUCUCGUCUUGAGCAACAAUUAAUUAUUGCUUAUAUAACCCAGAGUGGGGCCUGUCCUGUUAACUUCUGCUGUCAACCUGACAGCCCAGAGUCAUCUCAGAGAGGCUCCAUUGGGGAAUCAGAUCGAUCAAAUUGUCCUGUGGCCAUGUCUAUGAGGAAGUCUUUUAGUUGUGGAUUAUUGUCAGAGGGCACAGUCCCCUGUGGGUGGUGCCAUUCCUUAGCAGAUGGUUCUGGGCUAUCUAACAAAGCUGGCUGAGCAUGAGGGAGAGAGAGAGAGUAAACCAGCAUGCAGUGUUCCUCCAUGCAACUCUGCUCCAGAUUCCUGCCUCUCGAGAGGUCCUGCACCGGCUUCCCUCCGAGAUGAACUUCUACCUGGGAGUGUCUAUUGGAACAAACACUUCCCUCCCCAAGUUGUUUUUGGUCAUGGUGUUUAACAGAAUGACAUAAAGGAAGCUAGAGGAAGGCAUAUUCCUACUAAGUCUUGUAAGCUUCCUGGGCCUGCUAAAUUUUAUGGGUUUGUGAGUUUUGCUAGCUCCUUGUGUCUUAUGAGCUCCUGUCCUCUCUUAACUCUCCAGGAGGACAUGUUUCAGUUCGGGGGCAAUAGCUACACAGUAGUGCCCAUGAUGAGCCAGAGCUAGAAGAAUCACUGGCCCCUACAUAAAGCCCUGAUUGUCAGAGAGACAGGAGGUCUUCAUGAGUCUGGGGAAACUUGCUGUGACUUACUUUGUCCUCUGUCUUCAUAGGCUCCCUGCCUGCUCUAUCUAUUUUUUCUUCUAUUUCUUUAACAACUUGAUUGUUGAAACCCCAGGAAAUUCUAAGCCCAUUUCUCCCAUCAAAAUGAAAGGAACUUAUUGAUGAAAUCAUGAGUCCAUUAAGAUUGAGUGGUACAUCUCCAUUAGGGCCACGAUUUGCAUCAUAAAACAGAUUAACAUGAAAGGUGGAAGCACUCUUCUUGGAGAGGAAAUGCACAAAAGAAUCUUUUAGGGCCUUCCGAAUUAAAGCAGAAUAAACACUCCACCAGGCACAGAGAGAAGGCAAGGGACAGGGGGGAAGGUUUCGACAGAGCCAAGCAAGACUGAAGACCUGCAGCCACAUAAGUGGUGUGACUCAUAGCUUAGUUGUGGGUAGACAGCAGAAGCCAGGGAACAUUCGGAGCUGAAAGAAACACUCGUAUUAAACAUUCUGCUGGAGCAAGGGUUCCCACUGCAGUGUGCUUACAGAGCCCUGCUCUGAAGUAUGCCUGGGCCGGCCGUUCUCGCUACUUUAAUGGAGUUGCUGAGAACCACCCUCUUGCCCGGCUAAGAGCCUGUGGUUCUGAGUGGAUGAGAGUGCUGUUCUCCUCAACCUUCCUCAGAAUGUUGAGAGGACAGUUCUGUGACAAGAGCUUUGCCAUGUGGCCUCCCCAGGAAUCUAGAUUGUUCCGGAUGAUCAAAGGAUAAUGAAAUAAACCCUACAUUAAUAGAGCACAGGGUUCUGGGAGUGUGUUGGGGGGCGGGGAUGACGUCUUCUCUUGCCUAUCAAGCUGGUGCUGUUUGUGUGUGUAUCACUUGCUUAGCAGCAUCAAGACCUUUAGCUAAAAGGAGAGGCUGGCUUAAAGGAUUGGAGCACCCGGGGGAUUCGCUGUUUGAUGGAAACAGGUCAGAGAAAGGAGCAAGAGAAUGAUCGGCCGUCUUACUCUUCUGGUGGGGUCUCUUUGCUCAUGUGUGAGAGGCAGUUCAUGCCAGCUCACAGACAUCAAGCAGAAUUUCUUCCUAAUUCCCCCACUCAGUGACUUCAUAGGAGGUUGGCACUGGCUAGGAUAGGAAUGUUUACAUUGCCAGAAUUGGCAGAUGUCACAAACCAGGGUGUUUUUUUCUCCCCUACUGUGGUUGCCUUGUUUUCUCCCCUAGAAAAUUUAUCGUUAAAUAUUUAUCAGCAUUCUCCUGGAAUUUGAUUGAAAGAUAAUUUGGCCAUCAAAGCAGCCACACGGCCUUCUGAAACUCUGGCUGAAAGCUUUCUGAGCACAGCAAGGGUCAAACAAGUGACCGGGCGGAGCUCGGCGGAAUUUGGAAAAAGGGAAAGGAUUCUUGGAAUACACGCCUGUGUGACAUACUCACCCAUGAACACUCACCUGAGGGUCAGUGCUCACAGGGUGACAUGGUAGGCACCUCUCGAAAGUUGUAAAGGGACCUUUAGGAAUGUGGCCACGAGAUGGACACUACUUAGACAUGAUGUGGGCCUCUUUCUCAUUGGACCAGGGACUUCAGAUAAAGGAUAAGACCCAGGAGGCUGGGCCUCAGAAGGACCAAUUUACAGGGCAUUUUGAUAGUGAACCAAUUAACCUCUUCUACCUAUAGGGCUCAGACAAAAGAUAGUUGGGCUCAGGAUGCAUUCUGGGAGCACUGCCGCGUGUGGGUGGUAAUGAUGUGUCAGAAGUUCUUUUUCAGAUGGGCUAAGUAGACUCCAGUCCUAUAUGGAAUGUCCGAGGCUGUGUCAGAGAAACACAAAGGUCUCUUCUGCCUCCCUUCCUGGGUUCUAGGAUUCUUCUGAAAAGAACCCUAAUGCUAACUAGAAGGUAGAAGAGUGGAAGCCCAGACACAGAUUAAGGAGUACACAUAGGUUCGGCCACAAUGGAGAUCAGGGAGGGAGGAUCUUCAACAAACUAAGAAAGAACCAGUGUAUGGCCCACUACAGCGUGUCCAGGUUAUUUACCUGAGGGACCGUAAGCCAACCUAUCACCCUGUGAACACUGCUGUGAGUUCACAAUUAUGGCUGAGUUAUGUACGGAAGCAAGAGAAGCGUCCGUCAACAAAUGACAGGGUUAAAUGGAGUGUGUGUGUAUAACGAAACUUUAGUCAGCUCUAAGGAAGAGCAGAAUCAUGCUGUUUGUUGAAGAACGGGUGUGACAGAAACUAACUAUAUGAAAUAAGUCAGCAAGAUAAGUGUCACACAUUUUUAGUCCUUUUGCACAUCCUUGGGUACACACACACACACAACACACCCUCACACACACUAAGGAAAAAAAAACUGGCUUCGAAGGACAAAAGGAGGCUACGAAAGGAAACAUAUUUGUUCGACUUUGAGGAAGAAGCCGAUUUGUCUGAAGGAGUCUGGGGACAGCCCUGCCUUUGUCUGAUAAGCCCUCUCUGCAAGUCCCUGUAAGCCAUAUGUGUUUAAGAUGUAGAGGAUCAGCUCAGGGGAUCAGCGCACAGCCCUGGAAGCGUUAGCAUGCGCUUCCUACUUUAAGCAGCUGUCUGGCAAAAUGGUCUGUCACUGUCAUAGGGCAGCCGAGCAUGAGAGUGCUUUGACAGUGCGAGUCUGUCUCAAUCCUUCCACCCAAACUCAAAGGAACGUCUUCCCAAAGGCCGAGGGCAGCCAUUCUUUGCAGCGGGAGUAAGCUCGGCUGAUGGCUUAAUCUGGAAGCCAAUUGGCUUUCAAGGAGACAUAACUCACUCCAUAUUUAGAGAAACGUUUGGAGUCUAUUGGGACUGCUUCGGGAGGGGAUUUGAAAACUUUGAAAAGGAACCUGAUAUGAACACUGACCGACUGGAAGACCUUCUGUCUUUCACAAGUGGGCACGUACCUGGCAGCCCUUGCUGGCUUGGCUUCAACUCCUAGAUCCCGGAUCAUGGAAGCCCUGGAGGGUCUGGCAGUUGGUUCCGGAGUCAACAAGAAGCAGGCAGCCACCACCAACCUAGAAGUAUUAUCAUGGUUUAACAGCAAUCCAAGCAAUGUCUCUGCUCCUGAAAUGGAACCUGGGCCUUGUUGGACGACGUGGGACAAAGGAGAGAGGCAGGUCCACUGUGGGGUCUGUCUGUGUUUAUAUGGUUGGCAGAGCGCGCUUUGAUGUCACCCUGAUGACGUCUGUCAUCUUCCCCACACCUGCUAUGGCAUGGCUGCCUUCAGUCACAAGCCUGAUUCACAGCACACUCUAUGUUUAGCAGCGCUCUGAGAAGGAUUCCAGUCUGCCUUCAGCCCUAAAUAGCUACAAAUAUCAGAGUAGCAGCGGCAGCCCUUCAAAGGCCUUUUUGGGAAGUGUCAUGCCAGAGAUGGGGUGACACAGAGGAGCCCCAGAAAGAAGCAAGAUGUCACCUGGAAACUGGAGGGAAAAAGAAGAAAUGAACCAGCGUCGACUGCUAAGAAGGUGAAGAAAUGAACCAGCGUCGACUGCUAAGAAGGUGAAGAAAUGAACCAGCGUCGACUGCUAAGAAGGGCACCUGGACACUCUGCUCAUGAGAAUGCAAUACCCAACAUGAGUCAAGAAAGCCCAAAGACGUCCACCCUGAUCUGGUGAUAGAUGACACCUGACCUCCUUAGCCAAUAUGCAGACUGAGACUGUAUCUGGCAGAGUUUCUGGCUGCAGAACCCUUGACCGUCAGAAGUGAAUGAAAGUUUGGUAAGCUGUGCUGGAGCACUGCCAGUGUGCGGUGCUGUGAGCCGCCCUCACAGGAUUUCAGGGAAGAACUGUGGGGAGGAGGCACUGAAUGCCUUAGAUGCAGCGGGGAGAAAACCCUUCCUCCUACACCCUUAAAACAGAGCGAAAGGAAACAAAAUAAUAAAACUAAUAACAAAAUAACAAAAUAAUACCCCCCCACAAGCUACACCCUUACUUUUCUGGUCUCACCUGCUGCUUUCCUUAGGAGAUAGUUUCAAUGGAAAAGAUUCUAAAGUUCAUGUGUUCGAAAGCUUCUUGACCUUGCAGUUGGCGAUGAUCUUUGGGGGGUUAUGGAACUGUGGCUGGGGUCACUGGGAGCCAGGUCUUUGGGGUCACAGCUCUGCCCUAUUUUUGGACCCAGUCUCUCUGUGUGUCAUCUGUCAAGAAGUGAGCAAGCUCUCCUACACUCCUUCUGCUCUGGUUCACCUCCACCAAUACCCGUACUCUCAACCCAGGGGUGAAAAUUCCUUUCUCCUUCAGUGUGCUUCUUCCUGGGCAUUUGGUAGCAGCAAUUUCAAAAGCUAAGCUACCUUACUAGUAUGAGCUUCAGUGGUUUACACCAGGUAGGUCGAGGGAAAGGUAAAACUUGGGAUUUGCUCAAAACAUGGCCACACACACACACACACCUGAUGCUCGACACACACAGCCAGGCACACCUGAUGCCAGAAAGGGUGAGGUGGGGAUGUCAGAAAGUCCUGGGAGGAACCCAGGCUGUGUUCUAGGCACAUAUCUAUAGCUCAUAGUUUGUGUGUUCUUGGAAGACACAGAAGUAUUAUAAACUCGUAAAUAGAAUUGCAUAAGACUGUACUCAUGACAUAAAUGAUUCCUCACACGAGCGAACCAAGAAAGCCCAAAGAUGUCUACCCUGAACUGCAGAUAAAACAUCAUCAGACCUCCUUAGUUAGACGCCGCUGACACACAUUCGGAGAUCUUAUCCGGCAGAGUUUCCAGGCGUACGGAAGGUGGAUUGAGUUCAGGAUGAAUGAACUAUUGAACAGUGGAGCUCAGGGAGUGGGCGAUGGAUUAGUGGACAAAAAUAGCCCUGGACACCUGUGUAAAUCCUUGGUGAUCUGAUCUACGCCAUAAAAACCAGACAGUGGGCAUCUGUAACUCAUAAUAAGUCCUUUCUAACAUCACUGAGGUUAUCUUAAAGAGCCUCUUGGUGCUCCCCUCCCCCAUAGCUUUAGAGUGGGGCCAGGCUGCUAACUGCGCCAACGCUGCAUUUGGAGGGCUGUGACUUGCAGCCUGACCUCCUGGAACUGAGUGGAGCAGCAAUCAACAAUGACUUUGUAAGCUGAUCCCUGCUACAGACCGUACAAAAUCCUCAACGGGGAGAGCUGCUUACCUACAGAGGUCACAGGAGCUCUGUGCUCACCACCCCUAAUGCCCGUGUUCCUUGAAGUUGGCUGUUCCUGAGUUGUAUCUUUUGAAGUGAACUGACAUUGAUUCCUUUGGAAACUUGGAUGGCAUCGUUUAAUCUGUGGAGUGGGAAAAAGGAGACGAAGGAAGGAAGAGGAGAGGAGACCAUAAACCUCGCUGAGAGCUCACUGGAUCCGGGAAGUUGCUAAUAAAAACCCAGGCGGGGAUGGCACCUGCAGACAACUCACUCUACCUAGCCGUCAGAGCUGGCCUGGAAGAACAAAGGCUUUCUGGGGAGCUGCAAAUCACACAUUGAUCUUGCCCGAGAGUAUCUUUCCUUAGCGAUGAGAAGCUGGAAUAAAACGAAGUGGAAUGAAAAGCGGCAAGCAGAGGCCCUGAAGACUCCCACAGAAAUCCUGGUUCUGCAGAUUUACCUGUGCCGUGGGACCCACCUGUGUGGGACGAGGCACUUCUUGUUGAGCGUUCUGCUGCUCCAGAGUGCUUCAGCAUUACGUGUGGAAAGCAGAGACUUGAGGAAAAAUCAGUCAAACGAGAGCAUUGCAUAACUCGGACCACUGGAAAAUCCAUUCCCCCUUUAGGCAUCCCAAUGAGGGCAGUAACAACUAAGCAUGUUCCGGCUGUCGUGCUUACUCUAAUGCUGGCACUGGGGAGGAGAGGAGGCAAGUGCAUCCUAGGAGUUUGCUAGCAAGUGAGCCAGCUUCACCCCCUCACGCCACUCCCGGUUGCUAGAAUAGGAGGGCCUCUCCCAGAAUACUCCACACAACAGAUGGUUGAUCUACACCAGGAAACACCCAAAGAAGAAGACCAAGGCCACCACAGGCGGCAACUUGCCUACUCACCAGGGUCCAAGGAAGACCUCCAUCCCAUGGUGGGUAGAGUCCACAUGUGGGUCUCUGGGCUCUCUUCUCUGGUCUUCCUGUCCUCGUUGCUUUACUAAGGGAGACCUGUGAGCAACAGUGUUUUAACGCACGUUAUAGACGACACCGGAGUGUGGCUCUCACCAAAGCGUGUGCCUGACGUGAAGUGUGCCAGACUCCACGAGAAGUGUGUCUGGGCCAACUGACAGCAGUGGCUCUGGCUUUGACACGGCUCUCAGCACUCCCAUUCUGUUCCGAGAGGCCAGGAAGCAGAUGGAGAGAGAAUAAGCAAUGCAGUGGGAUGUCUACAUCUUGGCAGUCAGUUCACGGCGAGCUAUGUUUCUCAAGCUAUUAAGAUACAUGAUGCUACCUGUACAUUUAAUCUCUAAUCAAGUAUGUAAUUUUUUUAUUGCCUAGGGUAUGUCUAUGCAGUUGAAAGCAAAAACCUGUGUUCUAUCUUUAAAGAAAAAAUAAAACAACAACAAUAACAACCACAACACCCCUGUAAAAUCAAGAGAGAGGGAGCAAGAAGUUGGGUGGGUGGUGAGGUGGGGGAGAAUCGGGGAACAAUGGAGGAGGAAAACAAUAUAAUCAAAACAUACUGUAUGGAAAUUAAAUGUCCACCCUGCUCCUUGUGAAGUUUGCUUCCUUCACAGUGAUGUGAAGGGAACAGUGAUAUGCUUCCCCAAGGGGCACGAAGGAGAGGUGCUCUGAGAAAGUGACAUAAACAGGGAAGAUUUUUCUUCUUUGUAGAGAAGGGCGUUAGAGUACAGCAUUGUGAGAUUGCUCAGUGUGUGCACAGAGUACAGCAUUGUGAGGUUACUCAGUGUGUGCACAGAGUACUGCAUCAUCAGAUUACUCAGUGUGUGCACAGAGUACUGCAUUGUGAGAUUACUCAGUGUGUGCACAGAGUACUGCAUUGUGAGAUUACUCAGUGUGUGCACAGAGUACAGCAUUGUGAGAUUACUCAGUGUGUGCACAGAGUACAGCAUUGUGAGAUUACUCAGUGUGAGCACAGAGUACUGCAUUGUGAGAUUACUCAGUGUGAGCACAGAGUACUGCAUCAUCAGAUUACUCAGUGUGAGCACAGAGUACUGCAUCAUCAGAUUACUCAGUGUGUGCACAGAGUACUGCAUUGUGAGAUUACUCAGUGUGUGCACAGAGUACUGCAUUGUGAGAUUACUCAGUGUGUGCACAGAGUACUGCAUCAUCAGAUUACUCAGUGUGUGCACAGAGUACUGCAUCAUCAGAUUACUCAGUGUGAGCACAGAGUACUGCACUGUGAGAUUACUCAGUGUGUGCACAGAGUACUGCAUUGUGAGAUUACUCAGUGUGAGCACAGAGUACUGCAUUGUGAGAUUACUCAGUGUGUGCACAGAGUACAGCAUUGUGAGAUUGCUCAGUGUGUGCACAGAGUACUGCACUGUCAGAUUGUUCAGUGUGUGUCAAACCAGCUUUAGCAGCACUGAGAGAGAACUGACUUCAUUAACACUGGAGAUCUUGGAGACAGAUCAAGUACUCCUAUGCAGGGCAACACAAGGCACUGCAUUGAAGGAAGUCUUCCAAGAGCAGAGAAAUUCUCUCCUGGACACUACUUCCACAGAAUUUUCAGAUAGUUCCAUUUAACUUCCAAGUUCGUUGAUCAACUGUCAUGGGGAGAAGGGAUAGACGUCACGGAGCAUUGUGUCAUUAACAUUCGUUGCUGAAGAAGACUGGGAAGCAAUUCUAAAUUUGCAGCAGCCACGAGGUCCAUGGGCAGAGGUGGACAGAAGUGAGGACUGUCCAAAUGGUGGACUGCUUUGAGCAAGUGAAUGAGUCGUUGCAACUCCACAACUGGGUACGAUAAAAACGCUUCCAUAAACAAUGUAAAAUCAACUGGGUAAGGCGUAAUCCCAUUUAUUUACAGUUCAAAAAUAAACAAAGCGAGUCGCUGACAUCUGAAGUGAGAAGAGAUACCCGCCAUGGGCGAGCUUAGUGAAGAUUCAGCUUCAGGCGUUAGGGAUGGUUUCGUCCCUGAUGGGUUGUUGGUUACGAGCACAUGUUUGUUCUCCACGAGCAUACAUUUUAUUUCUGAGUCGUGUAUAUUUUUUUCUUCAUCCUGAAUCAGCAAAACAGUUACAAGCAAGCAAUGUCAACAUAGUUUCUUUUGCAUGUAUUAAAGUUUGGACCGUUCAGUCAAUCGUUUAAAGGACUAGGUAUGUGGGAGGAAGUGGCCCACAAAGGCUGAAGAGUUAAGUAUUUAAAGACUCAGAAUUACUUGAGAUAGUGAAAAAACGUUAGAGAGAAAAAUUUGAGCUUGGCUUCGUAGUCUAAAUUUCUUUGUCAGUAAAAACCUUCAUUUGUGGUAAAAUUUGGGCAGGGGAGUAAUGGUAUUUGAUAAGGGGUGGGGAAGAAUGUGAACUCAAAAUUAUAACCCAUUUUCUUUCUUUUUAACAUUUUCAGGUCAACACCAAACGUUUAGGUUCUGUGUGAUCAAAAUAGAAGGUCUUCACGUAUAUGGACCUGUCCUCCGCUAAGAUGUAAUUAUCAGUUGAUCAGGUUGAAAGACGGCUGAGUAGAUCCGGCACUAACAACAGAAUCAUCACACCAUGGAGAAACAAAUGUUCUAACAAUGUUCAUAACUCUACACGAUCCUUUCCUUUUUCACCACAAUCUAUGCUUCCCCAUCUGGCAGACAAGUAUGGAUCCCUUUCAACAUGGUAGGUAACAUUCCAGAUUGGAUAAUAAAAGUCUCUGUGGGAGAA